AUGCAGCACGUGAGCUUUAUAGCCAUUCCGCCUCAUGAGUCAACCCUAGGCUCUGACAAGGCCUCAUCGAUGAAGGAACCCGAUUCUGGAAUGCAAACCAAAAAUGGUGGGAUAGUUUCUGAUAAGUUUGUACAGCAGAAAUCAAAUCUUUCAAGCUUUUUCGAACAUCCGAGCUUACUUAGCAUCCACCAUGACGCUUUUAGCAACGGUGUCACUGUGUUUGAGUUUCAUGAUGUCAAUCGUUUGGUCCAAAGCAAAGACUCAAGCUAUAAGUCAAAACCAUUCGAUGAAAAUGGAAACUCUCUUGGAUCAACCUCAGUGUACCGUGAUGCAUCAUCUAUGUCUGAGAGGAAAAAAUCUCGUCGUGCUAAGAUAAAGAAUGAUCAUGAUGACACAAUCCUGGCUGAAAAUAUUGAGGGCCAUCGAGGUGACCGAGACAUCAACAGUCUGCUAAAUAUAUUGAAGCAGGAGGAGAUGGGAAACACAUCAAAAGCUCUAAGCUCACAAACGGGCCUUUGGUGA
rnacentral:lncRNA from 1 species